GACAGAGGGUGCAAACGUUGUUCGGAAUUACUGGGCGUAAAGCGCGUGUAGGCGGCUUGGCAAGUCGGGUGUGAAAGCCCCGGGCUCAACCUGGGAAGUGCACUCGAAACUGCUUGGCUUGAGUACUGGAGAGGGAAGCGGAAUUCUCGGUGUAGAGGUGAAAUUCGUAGAUAUCGUGAGGAACACCAGAGGCGAAGGCGGUUACCUGGACAGUUACUGACGCUCAGGCACGAAAGCAUGGGGAGCAAAAGGG
rnacentral:rRNA from 1 species